CCAGACCCUGCGCCGAAGAAGAAGCAGUUUGAGACAUGGGAGGGGGACCCCUAAGUGGGGACCCAUCUCCAGAGUGCUCCCCCAGGGAUCAGGGCAGCUUCUGGAAGGGGAGAUGGAGACAGAUGGGUGAAUGUGCUUAGAGCUUGGCUUGGGGUCUACAAGCUGCUCUAUGGCCAAGGAGCAACAAGCACUUGGGAGGAACGCAGCCCUCUGCGAGGGCACCCAGCAAGGGCAUAACUGGCUGUUUCAAGGUUCAGACUGAUAUUACAGAGGUAUUUCUAUAAUUAAUUGAGCAUUACCUCAUAGGUGUGGUCCUCCUCAGGGCUCUCUUUGCCUUCACCCUAUAGAGAAGAGAGUCACAGGUUGGGUGUCACCAGCACUCUCACAAUAGCUGGUGCAGCCUGCGCCAGGAUCCUCCACCCCUCUCCCAAGGCCAGGCCCCACAGCCUCCACAGGCAAAUCUGGACAGUUCCCCCAUUCCAUUUUAAAUGCUUUUUUCAGGUAGCCAUGUCCCCAAACCCGGUCCUUGCCCAUUCCGGCCCCAGCAGUGCCCUCACCGCCCUGCCCAGGACACGGGGCACUGCUCUGAGCACUGCGGCGGUGGAGCCGGGGACGUCCCCGCUGCUGGCGAUGCUGCCACUCACCUUGUCUAGGAAGAGGAGCAUGGGGACGCUGAUGAAGACGACCAGCAGGAUGGACUGGAUGAUGAUGAUGGCAUCUUUCAGGGUGUUCCUGCUCCGGAUCUGCUGGAUGUUGCUGUGACCUGGGAGCAGCAGCACAGAGCCCUGAGCCCUGUCUCCAUGCCAGGCUCCCAGGGAACGGGGACGAGCUCAGCACGACCACAGGGCAAUGCACUCUCUGGGAUGCAUUUAUAUGGGAUGGACAUGCCAAGGCAAAGCUGGGGGGUUGUCCCGCACACAAGGAAACAUCUGCCAUGUGGUGGAGCACCUACGGCUGUGUCUGAAGGGAUCCCACCAGCACAGGAAAGGUUGGUGCCAGGAGUGUGAAGUGGGCUUCACGUGGAGGGGGGAAGGAGGAAAAGUGCGUGGAGGGCACACACCAGCGGUGGGGGUGACGGGGGGUCCCACUCACCCAUGACCCUGAGCUCCGUCCCGCACAUGUGCGGCCGCUUGUUCUCCGACUUGAGGUUCUUCCUGUCGCACGCGUAGAUGCCGUUGUCCUCGUAUCUGAUCCCGAAGAUAGUGAAGUUGAUGAAGUUUUCUGUCCUCUCGACGCUGAAGCGGGAGGUGUUCUGGUCCCUCACGUAGACCUGAUCGCUGCCCUCCACCGUCUUGUACCACUGCAUGCUCUGGGGCUCUGGGGUGUAGCAGAUGAAGCUGAUGGGUGUGUUCCUCUUGGCCGCCACGUAGCGCGGGUGCUGGUGCAGCUUUCGGCACCCAUUGCCUGCCAGGGGACAAGGGUGGGCACGUCGAGCCAUGGUGCUUGUAGUGGAAACUCAUUUUUUUGUGGAAGUGACUUCACUGGGUCACUUUUUUGCUGCUCCCACCCAUCUCUAUAUACUUAUGCCUUCUUAGCCCCAGCUUGGCUCCCAGAUUACAGUCUGCACUGGCAUGCAUCACGGAGCCUUUGCCAAGACCCCCAGUUGGCUUCUCUCCCCAUCACUUCUACUUUUUUUUUUUUUUUCUUUCUUUUUUUCUUUUUGUUCAUUUUGCUGUAUUUUGUGUUUUGCCUGUGUUCAUGUCCCAGAGCUGGGACUUGUUUGGGUGGCAGAGCUCAUGCUCAGCAUCCUGGAGGUGGGAAUGGCACAAGCCCAUCACCUCUGUCACCUGGUCCGGAGCCAUGGCCCGAUCACCCAAUGCACUCUGCAAAUGCUGAGUUAAAAUGCUCACAUCCUUAGGAAAGACAAAACGGAUCCGGAUUUGCAGAGGCAGAGCAGGGGAGGGAGAUGCCCCAGAGGAGGUUGCAGCCUGGGAAGGGCUCUGGGGACAUUUGUGGCUCUGCUGGGGCUGGCAGCCUCAUGGUACAGCCAGAGAGUUGGGAGGGACCCUGGGGACGCAGGAAAGGGCCCAGCGGGUCUGAGAUGUUACCUGUGCUGUUACUGGUGCUGUUCCCGAAUGCUGAGAUCCCACCUGCAAGACAGGAGAAGGGCUCUGAGACACUGGCCAAGGACUCCUGUAGGAGGAGCCCACUGAGGACAUUCCAGAUGGGACCGCACGCCCUGUGGCUCCUUCACACCCUCCCCAUACGGGGCAGUGAGCUCAGGAGCAUCAACCAGACCCCACGCAGAGGCCAUUUGAGCACAAGCCCUCUUAUUUCCACCCCAUCUCCUGAAUGAAGUAAGCUGCUUUCUGGUUGACAACCCAGUGAAACCUGCUUCUGCUAUUAAAAUGUGCUGGGCCGGGGCGAGGAGCCCGGUGCCCCGCGGGUGCCCGGUUCCUCUUGCUGCAGCUGGGCAGGAAGCACCAGCCCUGUUUGCCGCGCCGCUUCAGCGCCCAGCUCCGUCUGCUCAGUGAGCAUUCGCCAAGCCCUGCUGCAGGGCAGCUGGCACGGAGGUGGGGGCUGCACCACCUCCAGCGUGCUGGGGCUGCUGCAGAGCCCCCCAGAAGAAGAGAAUAAUAAGAAGAAGAACCAGAAGCCGUUUCCCCAGCCUGAGCUUUGCCCCACACUUUGCUGCCCCACUGCAGACCUUCCCGCCCCGAUGAGCAGCGUGGUGAGGACUUGGUUCCGGACACUUUCCUUGGACCAGGCUGCCCAGUUUGUCUCUAAUGCCUGCCCCCUCUCCCUUCUGGCCUCAUCUCGUUUUACAACGCAGAGAUGCCCCUGGUCCAGCCUGUGCGCUGGGUUCGUGUCCCUGACACCUGCAGCUGGGGCUUCGCUCUGAGCUCUGCUGCUGUUUCUGAAUGAUGACCAAGCUGGCUCCUCACCCUGCAGCCCCCAGACCCUCCAAAGGCAAGAUUUCGAUUGCAUCCACAAGCAGCUUGAGCUUUCCCCACCUUCUCUGAAGCCACCCUGAGGGUAAGGAUGAACCCUUACAAGGCCAAAUCUGCGCUGGGCUCAGGUGCCCAACAGCAACCCUUUACAUGAUUUUCUCCCACAGGCUGAGGUUCCUCAGCCUGAAGAUGAGCGCGGGGGCUGCUUCAGGGUUUGUGGGCACCCUUGCAUCAAGGAGAGGGAGGAAAGGGACAGGAGCCUUGUCCUGGGUUGAAAGGCUGCUUCUCCAUGGGGGUUCAAAGGGAACAUCAUAGGGAUGUUCACACUGACCCCCCCAGGUCAACCACAAAAGCCUUUUUCCUCCCAUUUCUCCUCCCCUCUUGAACACGCAGCCCUGUGCAGCAAAGGCAGGUGGCUUGGCCCUGGCCUCAGCGAUGUGCUGCCCCCAGCUUGCUCCCAUCCUCCAGCCUCCAUGAACAAUAAAUGGGGAAGAAAACUCUUCUUUCCCUCCACCACAGCCAUGAAGGCUCUGCACCCGCUCGGCACCAGGCUCCCCAGCUCCCUUGGCCCCAGCUGCCCACCAGCUCCUGCGCGCCACCCCAGCCCUGCACUUUCCCCAUCCCCCCACAGUCUGGCUUCGUGCGAAAACUCACAACUUGUAAAGUUUAAUUUAUUUAAAGCCAGACAUGGAUGGAGUCCCAUAAUGCACAAAGCAAGGGACGCAUGCCGAUGUGCAUGCUUUCUUGCUCCUUCAACCCUCUACAGCACAAAGCCGGUGUUGGAUGCCUACCUGCAGCCAGGGCCAUCAGCCAGAGGUUUGCCUGGAGAACCCAGAGCCUCCUGCAGAAAUCAGCCAUUUUUUCACUGCAAACAACAGGGAAGCAUCCAGUCGCUGACCCUUGCUUCUGCAAAAACACCACGGCUGCUCCAAACAGCUUGGCCUUUGCACCUAAAAAUGGCAAAGCUGCUGCUACGCAAGACGGCGUCUUUCCUGCUCAUGUAAAUUGGCCGUGGUGGGGACUUUCCCUGGGGCUGGUUUUGAAUGCAGCGCAGACGCUGGGGCCCCUGUUGUUGUGCCCGCCCUUGCCUUGUCCAGCCUCAUGUCCUUGGGCCGUGCUCACCAUGGCAGAGUUAUUUGAGGGAGAGGACCGAGGCUGGGGGCUCUGCACCCCCGGUGGAGGUGGGCCUGUCUGUGGAGCACUCGGCGACUCCUCGCCUCGGCUGGCAGAGGUGCAGUGCAGGGAGGGGGUGCUGGCACCAACACGGCUCCGUGCCACAGGGCAGGGGAUGGGGUUACCCCAGGCGAAGCAGGAUCACACCCCAGCUCCCUGACAGCGCGGGCUCUGCCCUGCGUGAGAUGUGGAACGCAGCCACAGGCAGUGGUGGAGGCUGGGCCAGUGGCUGCGAGGUCAGAGCAGCACAUGAAGCGCGGGAAGGAGGUGGGUUUUGGGUUUCUCCUGCUCGCUGCAGGGUUCGGUGGCAUUGGCUCACAGCUCCUGUCCCCAGCACCCCAAAGAGUCCCCAGGACUGCCAAUCUGGGGAAGGGCGAAGCCUAGACAGGGUGUCCAGGAAACAGAGCCCCCUCCUUGGGUGCUCACCAUGCCUGGUCCUUCUCUGCAGCAUGAUUGCCAUGACCGAGACCCUUCCUCCUGCAUCCUUUGGGCACAGCCACCACAAGUGGCACCCAAGCUGUGCCCUGGCCCCAUCUCUCUGGCACAGAGAUGUAGUUCCCCGUCACAUUGUGCCACAGCACCUCUCCAACCACUGUGCUCUGCGAACUACGGGUGAGCACUGAACUGUAACUCCAUCUGAAAAACACCUUGGGGUACUUUUGCCAGCCGGGUUGGUCCCCAGAGCCCAGCUCUGCCUUCUUGGGGCCUCCCCAAACCUCCACUUUCUGCAGGUCGUUUCUUUUUUGCUGUUUCUGAGCAUCCGGCAGCUGCUGGGAGCCGGCCCAAGUCUCACCUUGUGUGCAAGGGGGUGUGAGCCGAGCAAGAGCAGAAAUAAAGGUUUCCAGAGAAACUGUGGCCCCAGGGAAAGAGAUGAUGGGAGAGGUGCCUUCUUGCAGCAGAGCGGCCAGGCUGUGCCAUGCAUGGAGCUGUACGCUGGGGCUAAACUGUCAGCACCCUUGGUAUUGCUGCUAAAACUCAGCCUGGCUGUGAUGUCCUGGCAAGCCAGCAGUGAUGGAGAUGCUUAGGAGCUGGGACAGCACAGGAAACACAGGAGAGAUUUGGUAAUCAGCCCCUGGGGCUGGAUAUAGGAGCUGCAAUGAGCAUGCAAGGAAGGCCAGCAGCUGCUCCCCAGGCUGGAGGUGCCUGGGAAAGACAUGAUGGUCCCAUGAGGAAGGGCCCGUGUCCCCACAGCGGGUGGCGGGACGAGCACAGGGCACAGCUGAGCCAGGGCCAGGCAGCUGCACCCUUCACCAGCCCAUUCUUAUUCAUGGUGGCUUGUGUUUCACCGCUGUCCUUCCUGCCACCGCAGGGGGACAGGGACAUGGGGGCUGUGCCACCUCCUCCCUCCAUCCUGCUGCCUGCGUGGGUGCUGUGAUGCGUCCCACUUGAAUUACACCAGCCCUGGCACGAGCUGUUCUAGGGAGAGAGAAAACAACAGUGAGGCUGUGCUGUGGCCCCUAGGGACAUCAGCAGGUCCUGGAGGUCUCUCCCAGCUCAGCCUCUGGCCACACAUCAGCACAGAAAUGUUCUUCACCUGCUGCUGCCUCUUCUGCGUGAUGCUCCCUGCUCCCAUGCAGCCAGUGGGACAGGUUUGGCUCCACAGAGCCCAGCAUUGGACACCGCCUCCAAGUCCUCCCUUCUCCUCGGCUGACGUGACAGCAGUGUCUCCCAUAGCUGGGGCUUGUUGCUGGGGGAGGCAGGAGGCAGCAAGGACGCAUGGGACAUAUCCAUGAGCAGAACAGAAGCUCUAGAGACUGGGCUGGAGGGGCUGGGGGGAGCUUUCAUCUCGGGAGGUCUCUUGAGCAGAAUGGGACCCCACCACUGGGGGUCCUGCAGAGGAUGGUGUGGCCAGAGGCUCCCUGGAGGGAGCAGGUAUUUAUGACUGGGGCAGGUGAUUUCCCCCUCCCAGUGGUAUGGGAAACACUUUCUCCCCUAACGCACACCAACACAUUUGGUAUUGUAAUAAUCGACCAUUUACGUUUUUUUUUUAUUUUAAGAAAUGUACAAAGAAAAAGGGCUUUAGCUCACACAAACUCUGCUCUUUGGCAUUUUUCCAUCACCGACGACGCGUACGUACAAGCAGCAUUGAUCGUGAACCACAACCUGGGCUGGAAAGAGCUGUGCCAUGGAUGCUUCCCAUGCAAAGGCACUUUAAAGCAGCAUGCCACACCCUAAGGCUCCUGUUCCAGGGAGCGUCACUCUAUGCACAUGGAAAUGGAAGCACAACGUGGUGUGAUGCAGUGGGCAGAGCGGCCCCGGCUCUGCCGCCUGGCCAAAAGCACACGGAUGCAAGCGAGCUCCGCAGGGUGCCAUAAGGCAUCUGCAACGGCUCUGAGCCAAAACCAGCCGAAGGGAGAAGAAAUAAUA